UACGUAGGGGGCUAGCGUUGUCCGGAUUUAUUGGGCGUAAAGAGCGUGUAGGCGGCCAGGUAGGUCUGCUGUGAAAACUCGAGGCUCAACCUCGAGACGUCGGCGGAAACCAUCUGGCUAGAGUCCGGAAGAGGAGAGUGGAAUUCCUGGUGUAGCGGUGAAAUGCGCAGAUAUCAGGAAGAACACCCGUGGCGAAGGCGGCUCUCUGGGACGGUACUGACGCUGAGGAGCGAAAGCAUGGGGAGCGAACAGG
rnacentral:rRNA from 1 species